ACAAAUUUCGUGAUUUGGGGAGUUCAAACUUAGGGCCUUAGUUAUGGGCUUGGGUUUAAAGUUUAAACUAAACAAAGGUGAAACAAUCACUAGGGUUUCGGAGUGCAGCUAGAUUUUCAUUUUGUUAUUUACCAAAAAAUAAAAAAUAUUUUCAUUUUGUUACUCCAAAAUUUUCUUGUUCGUUUUUGUUGCUUCUCUACUCAACGCUUCACCAUGAGCAGAUCAGGGCAGCCACCGGAUUUGAAGAAGUACAUGGACAAGAAAUUUUAGAAUAAUACUACACAUUCAAAUAUUUUUACGAACUUAAGUCCAACCAAGAUAAACAAUAAGAAUUGAAAUAAUUUAAACCUAAUGCAAACAGGAUGAUUGUUGGUACCCUCAGGGGUUUUGACCAGUUCAUGAACCUAGUUGUUGACAACACUGUUGAAGUCAAUGGCAAUGAAAAUAGCGAAAUAGGAAUGGUGGUAGUUAGAGGAAACAGUGUGGUUACUGUUGAAGCACUUGAGCCUGUCAACUUCUGUUUUAUUGUAAUAUUUCUCAGUAAUUGCAAUGUUUGAAAUGGUGUAUAUUUUGAACAUUGUAGAUGGCUUACUUCUGAGAGUAACAUGGAAGCGUGGAUCUUAAGGUCAUUUGGCCAUUACUUUGGAGUUCAUUUCUUUUCUCAGCUGAUUUGUUAGUGUAGCGCACUGUGCAUUCCAGAUACCACUGUGAUUUUUUAAUGGGAUGGCACUGAGUUUACCAAAUUGAAAUUAUGUCUAUGUCUAUAUAUAUUUUUAUUUUAUUUUUUAUAGAAUUAUAAUCUUUUCUCCCGUUAUGUAUUGUUAUGAUUUAAUAAUACUUUGAUGGUUCUGUCUGUGCUCAAAACUUGGUUCACGUCUGUCUUUUGGAUAAACAAGGGGCAAAUUGCCUAACCACCGCACUAGGAUGCCAUUAAAAGAAACAUGACGUGUUCCAGCAAAUAAAGCAGUGAAGAAAGAGAAUUAGUUGCGGGGGUAAAUGAUGAAACCCCACAGGAAGUGAGGGACCAUGCUUAGCAAGCUCUGAACAUUUUGUAUGAUUUUCUUAUUGUAAAUAUUUGUUGUUAGUUGUGUAUCUCAUGGAGGGGAUUAGCUGUUACAUGUUUUUGUUAUGUAGUUGAGUCAUGUAUUUGUUUUGUUUCAUUCGGUAUGUUUAGAGGUUUUUGUUGUUGAUGAACUAAUAUGCCAAUUUUUUGGCAUUCCUUGUAGUCGGGUUUUGUCUAUCUAGAGUACCCCACUUGUCUUAA